UAUGGGAUUAGAAGAAUGAUGUAAUAUCUUUUGCACAACUGUAAUUAUUAACCAGUCGGCAUGGUUAGUAUGAUAUUAGAUCUUUUUUUUUCCUUUUCAAAUUGUGUUACAAUAUGGCAGUUACAUAAAAUACGUCAAUGAGCUCUAAAAAAUAAAAUUAUUGAUAAUGACAAAUGAUGUUACAUCCAUGACUUCAAAUGUUGUCCAUU
rnacentral:misc_RNA from 1 species